rnacentral:rRNA from 1 species
CCUACGGGAGGCAGCAGUGAGGAAUAUUGGUCAAUGGCCGUAAGGCUGAACCAGCCAAGUCGCGUGAAGGAAGAAGGAUCUAUGGUUUGUAAACUUCUUUUAUAGGGGAAGAAAGGUAGCCACGUGUGGAUAGUUGCAUGUACCCUAUGAAUAAGCAUCGGCUAACUCCGUGCCAGCAGCCGCGGUAAUACGGAGGAGGCGAGCGUUAUCCGGAUUUAUUGGGGUGAAAGGGUGCGUAGGUUGUUUUUUAAGUCAGCGGUGAAAGUUUGUGGCUCAACCAUAAAAUUGCCGUUGAAACUGGCAGACUUGAGUGUGUUUGAGGUCGGCGGAAUGCGUGGUGUCGCGGU